GUGCCAGCCGCCGCGGUAAUACGGAGGGUGCGAGCGUUGUCCGGAAUCAUUGGGCGUAAAGCGCACGUAGGCGGUCUUUUAAGUCUCAUGGUGAAAGGCUGGGGCUCAACCCCAUGCAUGCCGGGGAUACUGGGAGACUGGAGACAGGCAGAGGCCAGCGGAAUUCCGGGUGUAGCGGUGGAAUGCGUAGAGAUCCGGAAGAACACCGGAGGCGAAGGCGGCUGGCUGGGCCUGAUCUGACGCUGAGGUGCGAAAGCGUGGGGAGCGAACAGGAUUAGAUACCCUGGUAGUCC
rnacentral:rRNA from 1 species